AUACCUUUCUCGGCCUUUUUGGCUAAGAUCAAGUGUAGUAUCUGUUCUUAUCAGUUUAACAUCUGAGUGUUUCAUGGUUUGGGGUGUUUAAUUUAUAAUAGUUUUUUAGGGAGUCUUAUUGAAUUUCAGAAAAUUGAAGGUUGAGAGAUUAAGGCAUCUGGCAUAUCUUCUAACUUUC
rfam:Nelumbo nucifera unplaced genomic scaffold scaffold00013, whole genome shotgun sequence